UGUAGGAGGGGGCUUGCUCCCGAUGGCGGUGGUUCAGUCAACGAUAGAUCGACUGAUUCCCUGCUAUCGGGAGCAAGCCCCCUCCCACA
rnacentral:misc_RNA from 1 species